UACGGGGGGAGCAAGCGUUGUUCGGAUUUACUGGGCGUAAAGGGCGCGUAGGCGGCCUCCGCAAGUCAGUUGUGAAAUCUCCGAGCUUAACUCGGAAAGGUCAACUGAUACUGCGGGGCUAGAGUGCGGAAGGGGCAACUGGAAUUCUUGGUGUAGCGGUGAAAUGCGUAGAGAUCAGGAAGAACACCGGUGGCGAAAGCGCUCUGCUAGGCCGCAACUGACACUCAUGGACGAAAGCUAGGGGAGCGAAUGGG
rnacentral:rRNA from 1 species